rnacentral:rRNA from 1 species
AGCGAACGCUGGCGGCAGGCCUAAUACAUGCAAGUCGAGCGCACCUUCGGGUGAGCGGCGGACGGGUGAGUAACGCGUGGGAACGUGCCCUUUGGUACGGGAUAACUGAGGGAAACUUCAGCUAAUACCGUAUGUGCCCUACGGGGGAAAGAUUUAUCGCCAUUGGAGCGGCCCGCGUUGGAUUAGGUAGUUGGUGAGGGAAAGGCUCACCAAGCCUACGAUCCAUAGCUGGUCUGAGAGGAUGAUCAGCCACACUGGGACUGAGACACGGCCCAGACUCCUACGGGAGGCAGCAGUAGGGAAUCUUGCGCAAUGGGCGAAAGCCUGACGCAGCCAUGCCGCGUGAAUGAUGAAGGUCUUAGGAUUGUAAAAUUCUUUCACCGGGGAAGAUAAUGACGGUACCCGGAGAAGAAGCCCCGGCUAACUUCGUGCCAGCCGCCGCAGUAAUAC